ACACUGCAAGUCGAACGCCAGCGCGUGGAGCAAAUCCUGGCGGCGAGUGGCGAACGGGUGAGUAAUACAUCGGAACGUGUCCUGUAGUGGGGGAUAGCCCGGCGAAAGCCGGAUUAAUACCGCAUACGAUCUACGGAUGAAAGCGGGGGAUCGCAAGACCUCGCGCUAUAGGGGCGGCCGAUGGCGGAUUAGCUAGUUGGUGGGGUAAAGGCCCACCAAGGCGACGAUCCGUAGCUGGUCUGAGAGGACGACCAGCCACACUGGGACUGAGACACGGCCCAGACUCCUACGGGAGGCAGCAGUGGGGAAUUUUGGACAAUGGGCGCAAGCCUGAUCCAGCAAUGCCGCGUGUGUGAAGAAGGCCUUCGGGUUGUAAAGCACUUUUGUCCGGAAAGAAAUCCUCUGGGUUAAUACCCCGGGGGGAUGACGGUACCGGAAGAAUAAGCACCGGCUAACUACGUGCCAGCAGCCGCGGUAAUACGUAGGGUGCGAGCGUUAAUCGGAAUUACUGGGCGUAAAGCGUGCGCAGGCGGUGAUGUAAGACCGAUGUGAAAUCCCCGGGCUUAACCUGGGAACUGCAUUGGUGACUGCAUCGCUGGAGUAUGGCAGAGGGGGGUAGAAUCCACGUGUAGCAGUGAAAUGCGUAGAGAUGUGGAGGAAUACCGAUGGCGAAGGCA
rnacentral:rRNA from 1 species